UAGAGUUUGAUCCUGGCUCAGAUUGAACGCUGGCGGCAGGCCUAACACAUGCAAGUCGAACGGUAGCACAGAGAGCUUGCUCUCGGGUGACGAGUGGCGGACGGGUGAGUAAUGUCUGGGAAACUGCCUGAUGGAGGGGGAUAACUACUGGAAACGGUAGCUAAUACCGCAUAACGUCGCAAGACCAAAGAGGGGGACCUUCGGGCCUCUUGCACAUCAGAUGUGCCCAGAUGGGAUUAGCUAGUAGGUGGGGUAACGGCUCACCUAGGCGACGAUCCCUAGCUGGUCUGAGAGGAUGACCAGCCACACUGGAACUGAGACACGGUCCAGACUCCUACGGGAGGCAGCAGUGGGGAAUAUUGCACAAUGGGCGCAAGCCUGAUGCAGCCAUGCCGCGUGUAUGAAGAAGGCCUUCGGGUUGUAAAGUACUUUCAGCGGGGAGGAAGGUGUUGCGGUUAAUAACCGCAGCAAUUGACGUUACCCGCAGAAGAAGCACCGGCUAACUCCGUGCCAGCAGCCGCGGUAAUACGGAGGGUGCAAGCGUUAAUCGGAAUUACUGGGCGUAAAGCGCACGCAGGCGGUCUGUCAAGUCGGAUGUGAAAUCCCCGGGCUCAACCUGGGAACUGCAUUCGAAACUGGCAGGCUAGAGUCUUGUAGAGGGGGGUAGAAUUCCAGGUGUAGCGGUGAAAUGCGUAGAGAUCUGGAGGAAUACCGGUGGCGAAGGCGGCCCCCUGGACAAAGACUGACGCUCAGGUGCGAAAGCGUGGGGAGCAAACAGGAUUAGAUACCCUGGUAGUCCACGCCGUAAACGAUGUCGACUUGGAGGUUGUGCCCUUGAGGCGUGGCUUCCGGAGCUAACGCGUUAAGUCGACCGCCUGGGGAGUACGGCCGCAAGGUUAAAACUCAAAUGAAUUGACGGGGGCCCGCACAAGCGGUGGAGCAUGUGGUUUAAUUCGAUGCAACGCGAAGAACCUUACCUACUCUUGACAUCCAGAGAACUUUCCAGAGAUGGAUUGGUGCCUUCGGGAACUCUGAGACAGGUGCUGCAUGGCUGUCGUCAGCUCGUGUUGUGAAAUGUUGGGUUAAGUCCCGCAACGAGCGCAACCCUUAUCCUUUGUUGCCAGCGGUCCGGCCGGGAACUCAAAGGAGACUGCCAGUGAUAAACUGGAGGAAGGUGGGGAUGACGUCAAGUCAUCAUGGCCCUUACGAGUAGGGCUACACACGUGCUACAAUGGCGCAUACAAAGAGAAGCGAACUCGCGAGAGCAAGCGGACCUCAUAAAGUGCGUCGUAGUCCGGAUUGGAGUCUGCAACUCGACUCCAUGAAGUCGGAAUCGCUAGUAAUCGUAGAUCAGAAUGCUACGGUGAAUACGUUCCCGGGCCUUGUACACACCGCCCGUCACACCAUGGGAGUGGGUUGCAAAAGAAGUAGGUAGCUUAACCUUCGGGAGGGCGCUUACCACUUUGUGAUUCAUGACUGGGGUGAAGUCGUAACAAGGUAGCCGUA
rnacentral:rRNA from 1 species